UGGCAGUGAUGACUAUCUUGGAAGACUCCUUUGGAAUAACCAUGAAAUAGACUUACAUUUCUGAACCAC
rnacentral:snoRNA from 1 species